GCCUCUGCAAGUAGAGAGGAAGGAUGCGUCUUGGAGCGCGGGGAGGAGGGGAAGAUCUGACUCCUAGAUCCUUGGCUGUCUGCUGUGAGAAGAGCCCAAGGACGCUCCAACUGCACGCACUUAACACAGGACACCAUGAGAGAAAAGACGGGAAGAGGAAAAGCGCAGGGAGGGACAUAUGGCCUAGAUUCUACCCAGGCAAGAAUUCUGCGGCCACUAGUGGCUCCAGGAACCACGCGGACUUGUGUUCUCAGCUCCUAAAUCCCCCAAGCCAUUUGAGAUUCUAUUUGUUCUUGAAUGUACCUCCUCUUUUGUAAUGAGCUUUAAAAGUUUGCUCGGUGACAUCGCACCUCUUCCUCCUCACCUGAGAUUUAUCCAUUCAUCCGUUCAUUCACUAAUCAGCUAUGAGGUACCUAUGACGCCAGGCAGUCAGGAUAGGGGCUGAGGAACAUAGAUGAAGAAGUCAAAUUUCUUUCCCUCCAGGAGGUCACUUUCUACUGAGAAGGGCGACAUUCAAGUCAAAGGAAGUGCAUUUGAGAUAGAAGAAUGUACUGGGUACCAGGAGGCCCAAAGAAG
rnacentral:lncRNA from 1 species